CGGGCCGGGCCUCGGCGAGCGGCCUGGGCGGCUGCUCUUCCUCGGGCCGUCGGAGAGCGGCAGUGUGGCCCCGCGCAGCGCGCGCUCGCUCCCUCGCUCACUCGCCGCUCGCCCCUGCGCGCCUCUGCUCCUGGGCUCGGCUCGGCUCCCCCGCCGAGCCCGCGGCUUCUCUCGCGGCGCUCCGGGGAAGGCGGCGGCGGCGGGACCGUGGGCCGCUUUGUGUGCAGUCCCGCGGCGCGGCGGCCGGGCCGGGGCUCCACCUGCGGACCGCCACCCCGCGCUCCACGCGCCACCCGCCCGCAUGAGGACGAGAGGCCGGUAGAGGAGCGCCGGAGAAAGUUGUGCCCACCAUGGACUUCCCCCCUGUGCAGCCCAAGCCGCCCUCGGGCCUGGGCCUGGGCAGUUCGGACGCCAAGAUCGCUUACCCCCCGGGGGUCAAGGAGAUCACCGACAAGAUCACCAACGACGAGGUGGUCAAACGGCUCAAGAUGGUAGUAAAAACUUUUAUGGACAUGGAUCAGGACUCAGAAGAUGAAAAGCAGCAGUAUCUUCCUCUAGCCUUGCAUCUUGCAUCUGAAUUCUUCCUCAGGAAUCCCAACAAAGAUGUACGUCUUCUUGUAGCUUGUUGUUUGGCUGAUAUUUUCCGAAUCUAUGCUCCAGAAGCACCGUAUACUUCCCAUGACAAACUCAAGGACAUAUUUUUAUUCAUUACAAGACAAUUAAAAGGUUUGGAAGAUACUAAGAGUCCACAGUUUAAUAGAUAUUUUUACUUAUUAGAGAAUUUAGCUUGGGUUAAAUCCUAUAACAUCUGCUUUGAAUUGGAAGAUUGCAAUGAAAUUUUUAUUCAACUUUUUAGAACUCUCUUCUCAGUGAUCAACAAUAGCCACAACAAAAAGGUACAGAUGCAUAUGUUGGACUUGAUGAGUUCUAUCAUCAUGGAAGGUGAUGGAGUAACCCAAGAAUUAUUGGAUUCUAUUCUUAUUAACCUCAUUCCUGCACAUAAGAACUUAAAUAAGCAAGCAUUUGAUCUUGCAAAAGUCUUACUGAAAAGAACAGUCCAAAUCAUUGAGGCAUCCAUUGCCAAUUUUUUCAACCAAGUUUUGGUGUUGGGAAGGUCUUCAGUAAGUGAUUUAUCAGAACAUGUAUUUGAUCUGAUACAGGAACUUUUUGCCAUAGAUCCUCAUUUAUUGCUCUCUGUUAUGCCACAACUUGAAUUCAAACUUAAGAGCAAUGAUGGAGAAGAACGUUUAGCUGUGGUUCGAUUGCUAGCUAAAUUGUUUGGUUCUAAAGAUUCUGAUUUGGCAACACAGAAUCGACCCCUUUGGCAGUGCUUUCUUGGAAGAUUUAAUGACAUUCAUGUUCCAGUGAGGUUAGAAAGUGUGAAAUUUGCCAGUCAUUGUUUAAUGAAUCACCCAGACUUAGCAAAGGACCUUACAGAAUACUUGAAGGUUAGGUCUCAUGAUCCAGAAGAAGCUAUUCGUCAUGAUGUCAUUGUUACCAUAAUAACAGCUGGCAAAAGAGACCUUUCUUUAGUCAAUGAUCAAUUACUUGGUUUUGUGAGAGAGAGAACAUUGGACAAACGGUGGAGAGUUCGAAAAGAAGCUAUGAUGGGCCUUGCCCAACUUUAUAAGAAAUAUUGUCUUCAUGCAGAAGCUGGAAGGGAAGCUGCUGAGAAAGUGAGCUGGAUAAAGGAUAAACUUUUGCACAUAUAUUAUCAAAAUAGCAUUGAUGACAAAUUGUUGGUAGAGAAAAUCUUUGCUCAGUACCUUGUCCCUCACAAUCUUGAAACAGAAGAAAGAAUGAAAUGUUUAUAUUAUUUGUAUGCCAGCUUGGAUCCAAAUGCUGUAAAGGCACUUAAUGAAAUGUGGAAGUGCCAGAAUCUACUCAGGAGUCAUGUGCGGGAGUUACUGGAUUUGCACAAACAGCCUGCUUCAGAAGCUAAUAGUUCUGCCAUGUUUGGAAAGCUGAUGACCAUAGCAAAGAAUUUGCCUGACCCUGGAAAAGCACAAGAUUUUGUGAAAAAGUUCAACCAGGUCCUUGGCGAUGAUGAAAAACUUCGGUCUCAGUUAGAGUUACUUAUCAGCCCUACGUGUUCAUGCAAACAGGCAGAUGUCUGUGUGAGAGAAAUAGCCAGGAAACUUGCAAACCCUAAGCAGCCAACUAAUCCUUUCCUUGAGAUGGUCAAAUUUCUUUUGGAAAGAAUUGCACCUGUGCAUAUUGACUCAGAAGCCAUUAGUGCACUAGUGAAGCUGAUGAACAAGUCAAUAGAGGGGACUGCUGAUGAUGAAGAGGAGGGUGUGAGUCCAGAUACAGCCAUUCGUGCAGGACUUGAAUUACUUAAGGUUCUGUCUUUCACACAUCCUACCUCAUUUCACUCAGCAGAGACUUAUGAGUCGCUGCUGCAGUGUCUCAGAAUGGAAGAUGACAAAGUAGCAGAAGCUGCCAUACAGAUUUUUAGGAAUACAGGACACAAAAUAGAAACAGAUCUUCCACAAAUAAGAUCCACCUUAAUUCCCAUCUUACAUCAAAAAGCAAAGAGAGGCACGCCCCACCAAGCUAAACAGGCUGUCCAUUGUAUCCAUGCCAUAUUCACAAAUAAAGAAGUACAGCUUGCACAGAUUUUUGAGCCUCUCAGUAGGAGUCUGAAUGCUGAUGUUCCAGAGCAGCUUAUAACACCAUUAGUUUCCUUGGGCCAUAUUUCCAUGUUAGCACCAGAUCAGUUUGCUUCCCCAAUGAAAUCUGUAGUAGCAAAUUUUAUUGUGAAAGACCUUUUAAUGAAUGACAGGUCAACAGGUGAGAAGAAUGGAAAAUUAUGGUCUCCAGAUGAAGAAGUUUCCCCAGAAGUACUAGCCAAAGUUCAAGCAAUUAAACUUCUGGUACGAUGGCUAUUAGGAAUGAAAAACAACCAGUCUAAGUCUGCCAAUUCUACUCUUCGGUUAUUAUCAGCAAUGUUGGUUAGUGAGGGUGACCUCACAGAACAAAAAAGAAUCAGUAAAUCUGAUAUGUCUCGUUUGCGACUGGCUGCUGGUAGUGCCAUAAUGAAGCUUGCUCAGGAGCCUUGUUACCAUGAAAUUAUUACACCAGAACAGUUCCAGCUCUGUGCACUUGUUAUUAAUGAUGAGUGCUACCAAGUGAGACAGAUAUUUGCUCAAAAGCUGCACAAGGCUCUUGUGAAGUUACUGCUCCCAUUGGAGUACAUGGCAAUCUUUGCCCUGUGUGCCAAAGAUCCUGUGAAAGAGAGAAGAGCCCAUGCCCGACAAUGUUUGCUAAAGAACAUCAGCAUACGAAGGGAGUAUAUUAAGCAGAACCCCAUGGCUACUGAAAAGCUCUUAUCCCUGCUGCCUGAAUAUGUAGUUCCGUAUAUGAUUCACUUGCUGGCUCAUGACCCAGAUUUUACAAAACCUCAAGAUGUUGAUCAACUUCGUGAUAUCAAAGAGUGCCUGUGGUUCAUGCUUGAAGUUUUAAUGACAAAGAAUGAGAAUAACAGCCACGCCUUUAUGAAGAAGAUGGCAGAAAAUAUCAAGUUAACCAGAGAUGCCCAGUCUCCUGAUGAGCCUAAGACUAAUGAAAAACUUUACACAGUAUGUGAUGUUGCUCUUUGUGUUAUAAAUAGUAAAAGUGCUUUAUGCAAUGCAGAUUCACCAAAAGACCCAGUACUUCCAACCAAAUUUUUCACUCAACCUGAAAAGGAUUUCUGUAAUGACAGGAGUUAUAUUUCUGAAGAGACAAGAGUUCUCCUAUUAACAGGAAAGCCAAAACCUGCUGGAGUGCUAGGUGCAGUAAACAAGCCUUUAUCAGCAACAGGAAGAAAACCAUAUGUCAGAAGCACAGGCACAGAACCUGGAAGCAAUGCUAAUGCAAACUCAGAGCUGAACCCUUCAACAGGAAAUCGAUCAAGGGAACCAAAUUCAGAAACUUCAGAAACUGGAGUGAGUGAAAAUGAAGAAAAUCCUGUGAGAAUCAUCUCUGUCAUACCAGGAAAGGUUGAGCCUGUAAAGAACAAAGAGAUCAAUUCGGAUCAGGCCACUCCGGGCAACCUCAGCGCCGACCGAGGGAAGAAGAGGCCGGCCACCGCCUCCGGGGCAGAGAACAUCCAACAGAAAGCCGAGGAGAAGAAGACUGACGAGACGGGACCCCCUGUGCCUCCCAAGGCCCGACGAGGACGUCGGCCCAAGUCAGAGUCUCAGGGCAGCGCCACCAAGAACGACGAAGCAAACAAGGCGGCUGGGAGGGGCAGAAAGAGGGCCGCGGGAGGGCAAGAGAGCCCGGGGGGGCUGGAGGCGGGCAGCGCCAAAGCCCCCAAACUCCAGGACCUAGCCAAAAAAGCAGCACCAGCAGAGAGGCAGAUUGAUUUGCAAAGAUUGUGAGCUACUUGAGGGCAAGAACCUUCUUUGGCCUCUUUUUCCAUAUCUCUGGCACUUAGCACAGGAUCUGGCACAUAGUAAAAAGAAACUCAUUCAAAAAGGGAGGAGAUGACGGCCAAAUAAAGACAGGCUCAAGCUUCUGCAAAAACUAGAAUUCAAAAGUAGCUGGACAGAAAGUGAGAUGACUUCAAAACACCUAAUUUCUGCCUUGAAAACUGAAAAACUCCUAACUUCCCUUUCAUAUGACACCAGUCCUCGAAUGGAAAUGUAAAGCAGAAACUCGUGAGAGAGGCUAAAAGCAACUGUACUUAUUUUCCCCUGAGACUUUUUUUUAUGAAAAGUCAAUAAUUAAGCAAAUUGCUUAACACUUGGUUCCAGUUCCUGCAUAUCUGGAGUUUAAAGUGCAUCACAACGUUCUUUUCCAUGCUGCAUUUUUUUUUUUAAGAAAGUCACAGGAUGUCCUUACACUGACACAGAAAAUUCAUAAUUCUAGAGCCAGGAAUGCCCAUGUUACACAAGAAAAAUAGAAGCCUACUGAAUUAAUUUUAAGGAGAAAAAGUGAUCGGAACAAGUACUUCUUGGCUAUUUCCUUUUGAAGACUUUUAUGUAUAAUUCUUUCCGCCUGCCUACUUUUCUGCAAAACUAAGAUGUACAGAUUUCAUUUCCCUGCUAUGAAAAGUCAUGUGGUGGCAAUUUUAUAAAUGUUGCUUUCUGAUUUUUAUCAGAGUGAGAAAAUAAUUGAAAUUAUUGAUUUGGAAGUAAACAUUUCAUUUUUUUAAUUUCCCCCCCACUUUAGUUUAAUAUAAUUUGCAAUAAAUGUACAUAUGGUUGUUUGUUUUAUAAAGCAUAUCACUUUAAAAGGUCUUUACUCCAGUGGUCAUUAUGUUGGAAUAUUGGAAAUUUUAAAGGAGUAAAGGCAUUUUCAGGAUUUGGUUUUGUAAUGUGAUCACCAGAUUUUUAUUAUUGAUGUAAAAAAGUUCAAUUUUCUAAAAUUAGCUGGACAUUGGCAGCUUCAAGAGGAAAGUUGGAAAUGUUUAGAAUUGCAUUCAAUUUUAAGCAUUGCGAUAAAUGAAAGAAUGUCUGUUUUGCAUUUGUUUUCCCAUAUGAAUUCAUUUCUUUUUAAUUUUAGAAGACUCUUGCACCAAUAUUAUGUUUCCUGGCAUUGUUCAGCAAGGGUAAAAGUGUACGCUUUGGGUACACGUGAUCAUAUUUAAGUUGGUUGCAUAAAAUAAAUGCUUCUAGGUGUCAUGUGAUAGUCCUUGCUUUUUAAUCGGUCAGUAUGUUCUCUCGUCUUGAACAGAACAGAGGCUCGGAGGAUUCAGAAUGAGAAGGCAGGAGUUCAGCCAACUCUGUUAUCCGUGGUAAUUGGAGGGUCAGGGGGGUCAGAAAGAGGCGGCAUCCCCUCGAGGGCCAAGGAGCUUUCAGGGAAGAGCUUCCCCUGCCCAGAGCUCUCCCCUCCUCUCCAUGGCAGUCGGGAAACACUCACUCGGCAGGGGCCUCAGCUGAACUGGAUUAUUUCAGUGUAUCUGUACCAUGUGCCUGGGCACACUUGGUGAAGAGGCAGGAAUUGAACAAGUGAUGUUUUAACAGAAUUACUGUCUAUUUUGCUCAAUCAUGUUAGCAAAAAUUUGAAAGUAAGAUUAACAUUAGACAAGCAUCCAUGCCCACCCCCAUCCCACCCCCAGGAUAAUCCAGAGUUGGCUGUAUAUUAAUAAUGUAUAUAGAAGAUAGAGGGAAAUAAUUCAAUUGUUUAUACUAAUUAUAGAAAAAUAUGAUUCUGGAGAAUGUAAAAUUGGCCCUACCACUUUUGACUGCCUUCUCUAUCAUUGCCUUGUAAAGAAAUCAGAAAUGAUAAAGCUCAGACCUAGACCCUGUGGGACAGAAGGAAAAAAAAAAAAACUAUGCAUAAGUAAAUGACAGACAGUGACUCUAGGCUACUUAUGAACAAUGGACACAUCCUAAUCAGGAAGUUUUUCAGGUUCUCUUAGUAUGAUUAGAUAAGUUAAUUUCAGUUCCCUCAAACCCUUUAGGAGAGGGUGAGAACCCUUUUUCCCUGGAACUCUUCCUCUUUCUUUGGAACUCAGCUCUAACCAUUGAAGAUAAUGGGGAACUAUGUGAAAUAAUGUGGGGAAGAGGAAAUUGCUCAUUGAUUUAAUGCAAUAUGAAUUCCUGUGGGGAGAAAAGGCGAGUGAGGAGAGCUCUCUCCUAUAGAUUGAAUAGGAAGCACUGGCAGAACUAUGCACCUGAUUUAAUUAUAGCAUCCAGACGACGGGAAAUGAAACAGAAAAGGAAAACGGGAGAUUGAAAAACUCUUCUGAUUGGGAAAAUACAUAUUUGAACAAAAAUUUUGAUUUCAUUUGAAACAAUUAAAAGAUACUUCCUCUUAAAUUGUUGUUCAUAUCUCAAAGCUAAACAAAAGGAAAACAUCCAGAUUUGCAGUUAAAUGCUAAUGUUAACCCUUUGUUUGAGGAUUCUUGUAAUUUGUCUAAUAAUACAACCAGAAUUUUAUACUCUUUGAUACAAAGCGUGUAUAGUAGUUUUACAUAUUCUUGUGCUGCACAUGGGCUGGGUUUUUAGAAUUUUCUUUUUAAGAAUGAAGCAGAACAUUGUAAUUUGUGUAAAUGCAGAGUGUAAUAUCUACCAUGAAACACUAAAAACAUGGAUUGUUUCGAAUAAAACCAAGAAACGCA